UACAGAGGUCUCAAGCGUUGUUCGGAUUCAUUGGGCGUAAAGGGUGUGUAGGUGGCGCCGUAAGUCGGGUGUGAAAUCUCGGGGCUUAACUCCGAAACUGCAUUCGAUACUGCGGUGCUUGAGGACUGGAGAGGAGACUGGAAUUCAUGGUGUAGCAGUGAAAUGCGUAGAGAUCAUGAGGAAGACCAGUGGCGAAGGCGGGUCUCUGGACAGUUCCUGACACUGAGACACGAGGGCCAGGGGAGCAAACGGG
rnacentral:rRNA from 1 species